GGUGAACGCUGGCGGCGUGCUUAAGACAUGCAAGUCGAACGGGCUCUUCGGAGCCAGUGGCGCACGGGUGAGUAACGCGUAACUGACCUACCCCAAAGUCGCGGAUAACGAUUCGAAAGAAUCGCUAAUACGUGAUGUGCUGUCAGAUCUUGUUCUGCCAGUAAAGAUUUAUUGCUUUGGGAUGGGGUUGCGUUCCAUCAGCUAGUUGGUGGGGUAAAGGCCCACCAAGGCGACGACGGAUAGCCGGCCUGAGAGGGUGGCCGGCCACAGGGGCACUGAGACACGGGUCCCACUCCUACGGGAGGCAGCAGUUAGGAAUCUUCCACAAUGGGCGAAAGCCUGAUGGAGCGACGCCGCGUGAGGGAUGAAGGUCUUCGGAUCGUAAACCUCUGAAUCAGGGACGAAAGACACUUUAUGUGGGAUGACGGUACCUGAGUAAUAGCACCGGCUAACUCCGUGCCAGCCGCCGCAGUAACAC
rnacentral:rRNA from 1 species